rnacentral:rRNA from 1 species
ACUCAAAUGAAUUGACGGGAGUCCGCACAAGCGGUGGAGCAUGUGGUUUAAUACGAUAGUGCGCGUAAAACCUUACCAGCUCUUGACAUUCUAUUAAAGAUACAGAAAUGUUUCUCAUUUAAGUGUGAAAAUAAAAACAGGUGUUGCAUGGCUGUCGUCAGUUCGUGUUGCAAAAUAUUUGGUUCAGUCCAUUAACGAACGAAACCCUUAUUUUUAGUUAUUGAACCGUCCUUGUUCAGUCAGUCUAAAAAAACAACCAAGAGAACACUUGGCGGAAGUUUAGGAUUACGUCAAGUCUUUAUGGCCCUUAUGAGCUGGGCUACACACGUGCUACAAUGAUAACUACAAAGAGUAACUAGAGUGUGAACUGGCGUUAAACUUGAAAAGUUAUCUUAGUUCGGAUUGUUCUCUGCAACUCGAGAAUAUGAAGGAGGAAUCGCUAGUAAUCGUGAAUCAGCACGUCACGGUGAAUAUGUUCUCGGGCUUUGUACACACCGCCCGU